GGCUGGUCCAAAUGCAGUGGUGUUUACAACUAAUUGAUCACAACUAGUUAGAGAUUUCUUUGUUCCUUCUCUACUCCCACUGCUUCACUUGACUAGCCUUUA
rnacentral:Y_RNA from 1 species